UCGCUCAGACUCACCUCGGGGGCGGCGGGGGUCCGCUCUCGGGUCUCCGCCUUUGGUCUCCUCGGGUGGGUCGACAGGUGAAGAAAUAGGGCUCACAAAAAAGUAGGUCCACGAACCGAAUGUAAAGUUUAAGACUGCAAGGCAGCCAAGUAUUUUAUUCAAAAAAAAGAAGAAAGAAAUAAACAAAGUACAAUUAUAAGUGAGUUCCCUCUCGGGAGCCUGACGCAAAAGUCACAAGAACUCAAAAAAACUCUCCUUUUCUUCAGCACCGAAGAAAAGAAGAAAAAUAGACAAAGUACGUCAGGCGCCCGUGAGUUCUUCACGGACGCCUGACGCAAACCACAGCAUAUGAAAAAACCCUUUUUUCUCAAAAACUCUCCCAAAGACCCUUUUUUCCUUUUCCCUGUUCAUCACCUUUAUACCCUCGGCUCCUCCCACUUUUACCGGAUAUCCGUCCCCCUCUUUGGGGUGCUGAUGGGGGGUUCAUCCCCCCCCCCCCUCUCUUCCUGAGAGGUUCUGGAGAGACUCUCUGUCCCACUUUAAAGAGGGGGACCGUUGUCUUCUCCUAUCUCUCAGGCACUUAGGGUACCCUCUUUAUGAUCCUUUCAGACUUGGUGAGACUUCCCGAUGCCAGUGACAUCAAACACACUCUAACCGGGGGUCAGGAUACAGAACAUAUUGGGAGACAUAUAUUACAUUAUCAUAUCAAAGACCAUUGAUCUACAGGCAGGUUAACACACAUGAAUCCAGGCUGGUGUUUAUUCACUCCGUAGUAACAUCCUCUCUGGCCCAUUUGGUCAGGAUUUGGGCUCCUGAACACACAAUCAACCAGGUCUUCAUUUGAAUAUCACAAGAGGUGCCAUGGUUACCUCUCGUGUCGAGCCGGUUGUAAACGCCUCCGCUGACCCCUCAGGACCCCUGUUCUGUCACACCUGGCCCUCUGCUUAUCGUCCCAGCGAUGGCCUCGACGCUUUUAUUUGAUCUUACAGCCACUCUGCCUGUCGGCCGGCCUGAUGGAUGCCUUGUUGCUUUCCUGUUGUUGUAGUCUAAUGGAACUGGGGUCCCCUUUGAUCUGUUUUAUUACUCACAUUCCGCAUUCACUUUUCCCGGCCUGGUCUACUCUUGCUAAUCCCAGAAAAAUUCGCAUUUAUUUGUCCCACUUCUAACAGUACGUCCUCUUCUACCGGGACGGCCGCGAGGUGCCGGACCUGAAGCUGGCGGCGUACGUCCGCCGGGCGGCGCUGUUCCCGGAGCGCCUGAAGCACGGGAACCUCUCCCUGAGCAUCCGGAACGUCACGCCGGCCGACCAGGGGAGCUACCGCUGCUUCGUGCCCACGCUGCGGGGCCCGCUGCCGGCCUCCACCGUGCAGCUGCUGGUCGGGGCAACGCAAUCUGAGGAAACCACAGCGCCGCCCAGAACCCUCCCAAAUCCAGAAGAACACCGAGAGACGGAUGUUACAGUUUCUCCGUCAGGUGGGCGCCUCCAUCACGGCGCUCUGGUCCCGGUGGGCGUCGGCCUCCUGCUGGUCGGUGGCGUCGGAGUUUGU